rnacentral:rRNA from 2 species
UGCGUAACACGUGGGCAACCUGCCUGUAAGACUGGGAUAACUUCGGGAAACCGGAGCUAAUACCGGAUAAUCCUUUCCCUCUCAUGAGGGAAAGCUGAAAGACGGUUUCGGCUGUCACUUACAGAUGGGCCCGCGGCGCAUUAGCUAGUUGGUGAGGUAACGGCUCACCAAGGCGACGAUGCGUAGCCGACCUGAGAGGGUGAUCGGCCACACUGGGACUGAGACACGGCCCAGACUCCUACGGGAGGCAGCAGUAGGGAAUCUUCCGCAAUGGACGAAAGUCUGACGGAGCAACGCCGCGUGAGCGAUGAAGGCCUUCGGGUCGUAAAGCUCUGUUGUCAGGGAAGAACAAGUACCGGAGUAACUGCCGGUACCUUGACGGUACCUGACCAGAAAGCCACGGCUAACUACGUGCCAGCAGCCGCGGUAAUACGUAGGUGGCAAGCGUUGUCCGGAAUUAUUGGGCGUAAAGCGCGCGCAGGCGGUUCCUUAAGUCUGAUGUGAAAGCCCCCGGCUCAACCGGGGAGGGUCAUUGGAAACUGGGGAACUUGAGUGCAGAAGAGGAGAGCGGA